rnacentral:tRNA from 2 species
GAAGGGUGUGGCCAAGGCGCCGUUCCCGCUCUUCUGGGGCGUGAGCAAGGCCUGAACACAGGAAGAGGGCCGGCGGAUCACUCCGCCGGCCCUCUUCC